GCUGGGUAUGGCAGUGUAUGCCUGUAGUCCCAGUUACUUGGGAGGCUGAGACAGGAGAAUUGCUUGAACCCAGGAGGCAGAAGUUGCAGUGAGCCCAGAUUGGGCCACUGCACUCCAGCUUGGGUGACAGAGCGAGACUCUGUCUCAA
ensembl:misc_RNA Metazoa_SRP Metazoan signal recognition particle RNA